ACGCACGCUGGCGGCGUGCUUAACCCAUUUAAGUCGAACGGAAAGGCCCUGCUUUUGUGUGGUUCUCGAGUGGCGAACGUUUGAUUAACACGUGAGUUACCUGCCCUUGACUUUGGGAUUACUUCCGGAAACUUGGGCUAAUACCGGAUAGGAGCUCCUUCUUCAUGGUGGUGGUUGGAAAUUUUCGGCGGUUGGGGAUGGACUCGCGUCUUAUCAGCUUGUUGGUGGGGUAGUGGCUUACCAAGGCUUUGACGGGUAGCCGGCAUGAGAGGGUGACCGGCGAAAAUGGGACUGAGAUACGGACCAGAAUGGUACGGGAGGCAGCAGUGGGGAAUAUUGCAGAAUGGGCGGAAGCCUGAUGAAGAAAAGCAGCGAGCGGGAUGACGGCCUUCGGGUUGUAAACAGAUUUAGAAUGUGAAGAAGAGUGAGUGACGGUAAUGGGUAAAGAAGCAACGGCUAACUACGUG
rnacentral:rRNA from 1 species